GUGUCUUACUUUGGUUGCACAUAUACUAAAAUUGGAACGAUACAGAGAAGAUUAGCAUGGCCCCUGCACAAGGAUGACACGCACAUUCGUAAAGUGUCUAGUGUCUAG
rnacentral:snRNA from 1 species